ACUUAGUUCAAGCUUACAACAAACUCCUUGGAAGUACUCUAACUUCCUGAAAUAUGGAGUUUAUGAUAAACUACCUCGGAACUUGCAAGCUAUUUUGAGUUCUUCAGGUGGUUUCUCACCAGCAAAUCCACUGUCAACCCAAGCAGAGUAGCCUCCUCCCAUGUUAUUCACAUGCUCGAAGCCCUGAAAUUUCUCACUAAAUCUCAUUAUUACUUAUCCUUUUCUUUUGCAGGUCUAGUCAACCUUGCAAAUUAGUUCUAGCAUCUCAAAUCUUACCGCGUUAAGAAGAUCGACGCAAGCACGAAGGCCUCUACCACCUCUGUUGCAAUUCUGCACAAAUAGGUAAAUAUUUUGCAAUUUGUUUCAAUAUUACUUUUAAAUCUGCAUUGGGAUAUAAAAGUAGCAACACCGAGGAAUAGUUUUUCUUCUUACCACCACUAUAUGAUCUUCCUUCUUUAAUAUGGAUGUAACUUGUGCUAGAAAGUCGGGAUUCUUUACUUGACCUGUUUAUUAGCAAACUGUCAGAUUCUAUAGGAUCAAACAUACGAGAGUUGAUCUAAGAAAAUGCAUCUAGGUCAAUGCUUAGCAGUGAAAACAUCCUAAAACUGUAGAGUUUAGUUACUUUUAGAACAAAAUCAUACAGGGACAGCUGGUUAUUACCUUCUGGGGUGAAGAACACGUAGGGAACAUUUAGUGCAUUCUCAACAUGGCCUUUGUUAUACUCUUCAACUGUCCUGCAACCAAAACCAUCUCUUCAGUUAUUUAGCUUCAUUACCUUUGAUUAUAUAUAUUUAUAUAUAAGCCGACCUAACAUCCAAACAGAGGCGACCCUUUUCUAAGAGAUCUUUGGCAACUUGAACAUCGACUGUCCUGCAGAUUGGGAGUGAAUAAAUGAGUUAAUUUCAAACUCUUUUUUUGCAUAGUAAAUGUGAGGUUACAUUCCUACGAGUUAAGGAAAUGGCAACAUGGUUGAUAAGAUUAACCUCUCCAUCUUUUGAAAGAGCAAAGAGAUUCUUUGUUUCGGCUUUUCCUCUUCCUUGUUAGAUUGGAUCCAUUCCUUAAGAACCAAAAGAUUUUAUAAAUGAUCAAGAUUGUAAAAUGCAAGCUUUUGGUUGACUUUGAUCAUUUCAAGUUAUGCUGAAUUCAUAAUGUAAUUAUUGAUUAAAAUUCUUGAAUGUUUAAUUAACAAAUAGGCUUAAAUUUUCAUUUUCAUCACCAUUUGUAUAUAUAUAUAUAUAAUAUUAACGAUCGGUUCUAAAUUAUUUUCAUGAUUGGACUUUACGUAUCUGACUUUUGGUUCUUUUUUUAAGGAGAAAACGAUAAGUUUUUAUAUGGUUAGUUUGUUGGUCAACCAUUGAUUAUCCUUGAAGUUCAUUGUUGGAAACAAUUGAAUUUUGAUAGUGAAUUUGUUAGAUUGUAUCCCUUUCAUUUGUCUUUUCUCGUGGGCUAUUCCUGCCUUCAUCCCAUAAAGAAAUGGAGGAAGAAAUGGAAGCAUGGAUGGAGACGGAGAUGGAGACGGAGACGGAGAUCAUUCAAAGUGAAUCUCUUGUUGAUCUUGAUUAUAAAACUACUCUUUUAAAACUUUUGUAUUAGAGAGUAUAGAAAGGAACACACUUAUAUAGUUAGCACACUCAAGUUUAAAGUGUUUUUAACUUAAACGAUUUAAAAAUUAAUGGCGUAAUUUCUUUUAGAGUGCUUGAAUCUCGUUGAUUCAUUGAACUUUUUUGGUGAAGGAUAAUUACACUUCUAAUAUUUUGUCAAAAACUCAACAAUCUUUACACGCUGUAAUACCUACGUUAGUACAUGAAAUGUUUAAUUUAGCUAAGCCCAUAAAAAUACUCUCAUUUAGUUUAA
rnacentral:lncRNA from 1 species